rnacentral:lncRNA from 1 species
UUCUUCUAAAAAAUCAGGCUGUAAUUGAGUAAAUUAAAUAAAAUUGAAUAUGGUAAAUGAUAAAAGACACGAUAAAGAUUUAAAACCCUACAAAUUUAACUGAUUAUUUUUAAAAUAUGGACUGAAAUUAACCAAAUGGCCGAAAAAAGAAAAACCUAGAGUUCUUACCUGGUUUCGUGAACCCGUGGCUUCAAUCUCCAAAUUACUCUGCUUUUCUCAAAGAUUAUCACAAAAUCGUAACAGAAUUUUUUGAUGAACACAUUUACGAUCAUUAUGCCUCAA